rnacentral:rRNA from 1 species
NNNNCUAAGUAUAAGCACUUGUACUGUGAAACUGCGAAUGGCUCAUUAAAUCAGUUAUCGUUUAUUUGAUUGUACCUUUACUACUUGGAUAACCGUGGUAAUUCUAGAGCUAAUACAUGCGAAAAGUCCCGACUUCUGGAAGGGAUGUAUUUAUUAGAUUCAAAACCAAUGCGGGUUCUGCCCGGUCAUUUGGUGAUUCAUAGUAACUGUUCGAAUCGCAGGGCCUCGCGCCGGCGAUGUUUCAUUCAAAUUUCUGCCCUAUCAACUGUCGAUGGUAAGGUGUUGGCUUACCAUGGUUACAACGGGUGACGGAGAAUUAGGGUUCGAUUCCGGAGAGGGAGCCUGAGAAACGGCUACCACAUCCAAGGAAGGCAGCAGGCGCGCAAAUUACCCAAUCCUGACUCAGGGAGGUAGUGA